AGAUUUAUGCAAAGACAGCAGGCUUUCGGCCACCGCCCACCAUGGGUUUAGCUUUUGGGCCUAAGAAUAAGUCCAAGUCCAACAGACUUGUCUGAAUAGUUAGUGCUAACUAGGGUUUUUAAAGUUUCUAACUCAUUAGUCAGUUCUUCCUAUAAAUUACUCUUUUGUUCUUAGGGUUUAGCCACCAAAAGCAGCUGCAGAGACAAGCCGUUUCGACAUAGUAUUUCUUUCUUCUACUUUGGUUGCCCUGUUUGUUUCAGAUUAUAUUUAUUUCUAGUUCUGAUGCUUGUUUUUCUGGUUCAAAAUUCUUAAGUGUUUGGUUUUUUCUUUUUCUUCCAAAAACAAGGGUGUUGGAGAAUGAAAUGAUGAACAGAAUUUUCCCUAUUGGUUUGAUUGCCGUGAUGAUGGCAACCUUAACGUAUUAGCUCUAUCUGAUCAUUCUCUUUACCUUGUAAAAAAAAAAAGUUGUGGUUUUUGAUAUGGUUUUUGACAAAGCUUCAGACUUUGUUAUUAUACUCCCUGUUUCAAGACUGUUAAUUUUGGUAUUGGAUCUAAAAAUGGACCUUUGAACAUUGCUCACUUGAUUGAUUUAACAUUUUGUUGUUGUUGGUGUUGUGGGAGAAUGAAAUGAUGAAUGUGAUAUUGUUUCCCUAUUGGUUUGAUUGCCGUGAUGAUGGCAACUUCAGUAUUAGCUCUAUCUGAUCAUUCUCUUUCAUAUAUUUUUUGUUCUCCUAAUGUGAUGAACAUGAAGGAAAUUGGUAAGGGAUAUCCAUGUUUUUCCUCUGAAGUGAUAUUGGGGAUGAAACACUGAACGUAAGGAUUCCUCCAUGUGUAUGAAUUAAUUAGCUCAUGAGUUUUGGUUGACUCAAUUUUGAGUUGGGUUGGGCUGGAUUCAUGAAUGUUUUUAAACCUGAGUCUUGGCUAAUAUUUUAAAUAUCUUAAUUUUUUUUUUAAGUUUUUUUUUUUCAAAGUUUAAUUGUUGUAGGUCAAUUUUAACCCAUUUACAUCAAAAUUUAAUUUAAUUUUACUUAAUUCAUCAAAAUUAAAUUCAAAAUCUAAAAUCUUAAUUACCUAAAGCUCAAUUUACAUCAAAAUUUUAAUGGCUCAAAUCUUAAGCCCAAAUCAAAAUAAAAAAUCCUAGUCCACAACUUAAAUUUUUCUCAAUUAAAUCUUAACUUUUGCCACCACCAACUCCACUAGCCACACUUGCUCCACCACUUAUUCCAUUAGCUACACUUGUUCCACCACCACUUGUACCUACAAAUGAAGACAUAAACAAUAAAAAAUAUUUGGUAAAUGGUUAUAUAAGCCUUCUCAUAUUUUGUAUUUAAGGGAGGAAGAAGUUUUGGGGCAGAAAGUUAUUGUAAAAGAUUUUUAAGAGGUUUUUUAAGAGUAAUCAAGGAGAAAAGUUAUUGUAAAGGCUAGUUUUUGGAGAUGUUAGUUUUUUUUUGGAGAUUAAUCAAAUAUCAAAGCAAAAGAAGUUUCUUGGUCUAUAACUGAAAGGAAAACAAUAAGCAAACAAAGAACUUAAAACGAGAAUAGACCAAGAAAUAUUUUUUGCUUUGAUAUUUGAUUAAUCUCAAAAAAAAUUAGUCUCUCCAAAAACUAGCCUUUACAAUAACUUUUCUCCUUGAUUACUCUAAAAAAACCUCUUAAAACCCUUUACAAUAAUUUUCUCCCCCAAAACUUCUUUCUCCCCUAAAUAUAAAAUAUGAGAAGGCUUAUAUAGCCAUUUACCAAAUUUUUUUAUUGUUUAUGUCUUCAUUUGUAGGUACAAGUGGUGGUGGAGCAAGUGUGACUAAUGGAGUAGGUGGUGGAGCAAGUGUGGCUAGUGGAGUUGGUGGUGGCAAAGGCUAGGAUUUAGUUGAGAAAAGUUUAGGUUGUGGGCUAGGGUUUUUUAUUUUGAUUUGGGCUUAGGGUUUGGGUCAUUGGGGUUUUGAUGUAAAUUGAGCUUUAGGUAGUUAAGAUUUUGGGUUUUGGGUUUAAUUUUAGUGGGUUAAAUUGGGUUUUGAUAUAAAUGGGUUAAAAUUGGCCUACAACAGCUGCCUCUCUUUACUUAUUAUCGUGUAACGGGAAUAAAGCAAAGACACAAAGAAAGGCCAAUUUUGCCCGGUCUUACUAAGUAUGGACUUCUUUGGUGCUCUUCUCAUCCAGCUUCGAUUUACUCCAAGGUGACUUCAAAAAGAUAAGAUCGACAGCUUCAAUCUGCUCUUCCAUCGCUUUAGUCAGAUAAAAUUUGUGGUCUUCUCUUCUGCAACUUUUAGAAAUGUAAGAUUUGAUAUCAUCGAUCAGCUCCACUGCAACUUCAAUUAGCUUCACUGUAACUUCAGGGAUAUAAAAUAUGUGUCUUCGAUUAA